CCUACGGGAGGCAGCAGUGAGGAAUAUUGGUCAAUGGACGAGAGUCUGAACCAGCCAAGUAGCGUGAAGGAUGACUGCCCUAUGGGUUGUAAACUUCUUUUAUAUGGGAAUAAAAUGUUCCACGUGUGGGAUUUUGUAUGUACCAUAUGAAUAAGGAUCGGCUAACUCCGUGCCAGCAGCCGCGGUAAUACUGAGGAUCCGAGCGUUAUCCGGAUUUAUUGGGUUUAAAGGGAGCGUAGGUGGAUUGUUAAGUCAGUUGUGAAAGUUUGCGGCUCAACCGUAAAAUUGCAGUUGAAACUGGCAGUCGUGAGUACAGUAGAGGUGGGCGGAAUUCGUGGUGUAGCGGUGAAAUGCUUAGAUAUCACGAAGAACUCCGAUUGCGAAGGCAGCUCACUGGACUGCAACUGACACUGAGGCUCGAAAGUGUGGGUAUCAAACAGGAUUAGAUACCCCUGUAGUC
rnacentral:rRNA from 1 species